rnacentral:rRNA from 1 species
AAUGGGCGCAAGCCUGAUGCAGCCAUGCCGCGUGUGUGAAGAAGGCCUUCGGGUUGUAAAGCCCUUUCAGCGGGGAGGAAGGCGUUAAGGUUAAUAACCUUGGCGAUUGACGUUACCCGCAGAAGAAGCACCGGCUAACUCCGUGCCAGCAGCCGCGGUAAUACGGAGGGUGCAGGCGUUAAUCGGAAUCACUGGGCGUAAAGCGCACGUAGGCGGCUUGGUAAGUCAGGGGUGAAAUCCCACAGCCCAACUGUGGAACUGCCUUUGAUACUGCCAGGCUUGAGUACCGGAGAGGGUGGCGGAAUUCCAGGUGUAGGAGUGAAAUCCGUAGAUAUCUGGAGGAACACCGGUGGCGAAGGCGGCCACCUGGACGGUAACUGACGCUGAGGUGCGAAAGCGUGGGUAGCAAA